ACUGGGAGCGUGGCGUCUCCUGUAAUCCAGCUGCUUGGAGGUCGGGUUUAGAGGAUGGUUUGAGGUCGGGAGUUCUGGUACAGGGCGUUCUGCGUUGACCGGGCGUCCACACUAAGCAUGGCGUCAAUAUGGGCACCCUUGGGGAACCUGGGGUGGCCAGGUUGAUCAAUGAGAGGCGAACCGGGCCAGAGGGGAAACUCAGCAGCCAAAAGUCUCCGCGUCGUGCAGUAGUGGGAUCGCGCCUGGGAGCGGGAACCUUGUAUCAGCCCGUUCAAUAUAGCUAGACCUAAAUCUUU
rfam:Dendroctonus ponderosae Seq01015353, whole genome shotgun sequence.